AUGUUGGAAAGGGCCCAUUUGUACAACAUGAACGUUACUAGAAUCAACUGAUGAUUUGGAAAUUAAGCCUUGUAAAAGUUCAUUAUAAACGUCUGCAAUGCAAGAACGCCUAUUUUUUAUCACAGAUAUUAUGACCUGCAACGUUUCUUGACUAACUUCGAGGUCUGGAUUUUGAAAUAGCUUAUACGCCUUUUCAAAAAAUUGUUUCUCAUAAGCUUUCAGUUUAGGACAGUCCAAUGUCAACGAAAAACGAAACACCGAAAGAGAUAAAAGCAUAUGAUUUGAA